UCCCGCGCGGCCGCGGCCCGGGCCCAGCCCCGGGCAGACGCGCGCUCAAAAAGCAGCGCGCAAGGCUCCGGCGGCGGCGCCCGGACGAGAGAGUUCAGUCCAUGGUCUCUUGGCUUUGAGCACUUGGUAGAACAUCGUGUCAGAAAGAGCAGGAGGCAGAAAAUAUUUGUCACCUUGUUGGUGACAGAAAGCAAAGGAAAUGAACAAGAUUCAGAAUUCUACAUGACCUGCAAAGUUAAACGUUACUACUGCAAAUAAUGAGACUCAAGUGUGUGUCAAAGCCUCCGCAGACUCAGCCCCAGAUGCUUCACUACCAUGAGGAUGUCUCUUUAGCCUGCAUUCCAGAUGGAAACUUAUACAGGAUCAAGUCACAGCAGCCGACAUAUGGGUCAUGUUGUUUCUGCUGUAAAACCUGCUGGUGUUGUUGCAAUUAUCAUGUUGCUACAAUUACCAUGUGCUCUAGUUUAGACACGAGUUGUUCUCAAACAAGUUCUGUCGAGGCUUUCAAACCAGUGGCCAUUCUGGGAGGUACAUGCCAUUGAGAUGGAUUAAUGCAUUUCUUGCUCUUUCGGUCUGGAUGAGCCACUGUGAAAACUGGUGGCUAUGAAUUAAGCCUGGCACCUUGUAUCUGGCACACACACCCUUCCACACAAUUUCCCCUUUAUGAUCUACAAUCAUAAACAGAGCCAUGGUGAGGCCCUCACCAGAACCUGAAUCUCUACACUUGGGCCUUCAGUACUAUGAGUUUUAAAAAAGGCCCUUACUGUAUAAAGUUCCUAGUCUUAGUUUUUUUUGCUUCAACGGUUACAAAAUAAACUAACUUACCUUCUAAACAUGAUAGAAAUGACAUGUUCUAUGUCAAAUAUACAAAAGCUGUUAUGAAAUGAGUGCGUACAUGGAAAAAUGAUGAAAAUAAGCCGAGAGGGCCAUGAGAUAUAAUGUCAUCUGAGCUAUCCGGAGAGGAGAAAAAUAGUUAAAAAUCACUGGGUAACUGAGGAAGAUGGACUGGAUGUUAGGGAUAUGGAAUGUGAUGUGAGAAUUGGCUUGACAUGGUGCAAUGCCUUUUGCCCAAGAAUAUGUAAAUAUUUCAGUCUAUAAAAUAGUCUGUUGGUGCAUGAAUAAUGAGUCUUCUGUUUGACAUGUCCCCAGUAAAUAUUUAAUGAAUUUCUGUUGAUCUUAAUAUCACUUUAAAUAACAUUUCAUGGAAAAUGAGUGCUGCCUCAUUAAAAUAAGGAAGGAAACUAGAACGGAGGGCUCUCUAUUAGAGAUUGUAACAGGAUUUUGGUUAGCAAACGGAUGAUUUAAAAACUCCAUGUUAUUAAAGCAAGGUCGCAGCACUACAAAUUGACUUGCUUCAUUUAUUUUGAAGAAUAAAUUUUAGCUUUCAUUAUUUGUGACACUUUAAAGUAUGACCAACAAAUUUAUUGCCUCGUUUGGAACAUUUAAUCAAAUCUAUGCUUUGAGAUACUUUGCUGUUAUUAAUGGAUACAGAUAAGUCAGAAAUGAUGUUUGUUGGAACUGGGACAUUUGGGAUGCUUAGAUGCUUCUUUUCUGUGUCCAGCACUUGAAGUGUUAUGUGUAUGUGAGUACUGUGCUGCAGUACCACUGUGUGGAUGUGAGUACUGUGCUGCAGUACCACUGUGUGGAUGUGAGUACUGUGCUGCAGUACCACUGUGUGUAUGUGAGUACUGUGCUGCAGU